rnacentral:rRNA from 1 species
GAUGAACGCUGGCGGCGUGCCUAAUACAUGCAAGUCGAGCGAACAGACGAGGCGCUUGCUCCUCUGACGUUAGCGGCGGACGGGUGAGUAACACGUGGAUAACCUACCUAUAAGACUGGGAUAACUUCGGGAAACCGGAGCUAAUACCGGAUAAUAUAUUGAACCGCAUGGUUCAAUAGUGAAAGACGGUUUUGCUGUCACUUCUAGAUGGAUCCGCGCCGCAUUAGAUAGUUGGUAAGGUAACGGCUUACCAAGGCGACGAUGCGUAGCCGACCUGAGAGGGUGAUAGGCCACACGGGAACGGAAACAGGGACAAGACUCCUAAGGGAGGCAGCAGUAGGGAAUCUUACGCAAUGGGCGAAAGCAUGACGGAGCAACGCCGCGUGAGUGAUGAAGGUCUUCGGAUCGUAAAGCUCUGUUAUUAGGGAAGAACAAAUGUGGAAGUAACUAUGCACGUCUUGACGGUACCUAAUCAGAAAGCCACGGCUAACUACGUG